GCCCGGCUAGCUUAGUUGGUGGAGCAUGAGGCUCUUAAUCUCACAGUUGUAGGUUCCAGCUCCACGUUGCGCG
rnacentral:tRNA from 1 species